AUGGAUCCCAACUGCUCCUGUGCCACCAGUUACUCCUGCACCUGAGCCGGCUCCUGCAAGUGCAAAGAGCACAAAUGCACCUCCUGCAAGAAAGGCUGCUGCUCCUGCUGCUCUGUGGGCUGUGCCAAGUGUGGCCAGGGCUGCAUCUGCAAAGGGGAGUCAGACAAGUGCAGCUGCUGCAGCUGAUGCCAGGGCAGCCCUGCUCCCAUGUUUAAAUAACACGACCCCUACAAACCUGGAGUUUUUAAAAAUGUACAACCCUGACCCGUUUGCUACUUUCCUUUUUCUAUGAAAUAGUGUGAAUGAUAAUAAAACAGCUUUGACUUGAAA